rnacentral:lncRNA from 1 species
UUUCUCCAUCCUAGUAAUCAAAUUUGAGCAAAAUCAAAUGGGGCUUUCUAUGAAAGUACCUUUUGUUGAUCUGAACGAGCUGGUAAUUUACAAAAUACCCUUCCUUUGUGAGGAAGGCUAAAGAAAAAAAGAAUCAGUAGCUUUUAAAGCUGGGCCUUAGUGGGACUCUAAAUGCAAUGAAAGCAGUCUGUGUUGAGAGACUGAAAUGCAUUUCAAAGCCAGGCCUGAUUCGGGGUACAAGGAAGAACAGACCUAUGUGCAUUUUGUAGGAAGAAAACUGUGAAUGGAAAAAGGAGAAGGGGAGAGAAACGGGGGAAAUCUGGAUAAUACAUUAAAGUAACCAUAAUUUUGGAGAUGCAUUCAUCUUAUUGAAAAUAUGUACGUAACCAGUGAUACCGAAGUCGGAUAUUUGCUCAAUCAGGAUGCUCAACAAUUUGAGCCUUUAAAGUUUGGAGCUGCAUGGGUUUGUGGAGAAAGUCGGCUCGUGAUAUUUCCUCAUGGUUGUGAUUCCUCUUCACUCUUUUGAAUUUGGAAGGAUGGCAUACACAUCUGAAAAAUACCACUACUUCCUUCAUUGGACUGCAAGGUAUUUCUGUUUGGAAAAGUAAUGGAGUCCAGUCAACUUCAUUGAUCGCCAAGGACUGUCAAAAUUAUAAAACUUGCUGUGGAGCUCUGACAUGCCAGAAGCCGCUAGAAAAAGAAGUUUGACAUUCAGAAACUUAUCAAGAGGUUCUACUCUUUGGAUAGAGACCAAAAUCAUACUUUGAAUGAUAUGCAAUGCAAGACUCCCAAGAUUCUGGGCAGUGGCAGGGAGGUGCAGCUUCUAGUCUGCCGCAUGAUCACAAUGUCAGCUGGUCCCUCUUCUCAGGUGUAGAUCACCUAUUAUAAUUUUACCUAAUUUUGAUACUCUGAUAAGGAAAGUCCCAGGACUUAUCAGCUGGGAUAGGCCUCACUUACAAGACAGCUCUGUUCAGUAUUUGGAAGAAAGCCUGACAGGUUUCUUCGGAAAAGUGGCCAUCCAUGGAAUGAAUGAAAUGUUCUCUUUCUAUUCCAAUCCAACUUAGAAAUAAUGUUUCAUUCAAGAUAAGGCUCGUGGCUUAGGAGAUUGUGACCUGGCUUGCAUCAUUCUAAGACUUCUAUCGUCUGUUUUCAAAACCCAAGGAGGACCUCCUUUUCUGUGUGAUAGUUCCUCAUGCUUUGCCAGCCACUGGGUCUUUAAGGAAGCUUGCCAAGAGUUCCCGGCUGGGAAGGACAGUUCGAGUUCAUCAUAGACAAUGAGCUGGCACCACAGUUUAAGUGACUCACCAACCUGGUUGCCCACUUCAAAAUGUCAAGAACCACACUAUCUAAUUGAAAGAACUGUGUUUUAGCAAAGUGUAAUUGGAUCGCCUGGCAAGAUCAUCUCAAACUAUGUCUCUGACCUUGCCUUUCAGUGGCUAUUUUGAGCACAAGAGGAGAAAGGAAAUGAUUCCUGAAUUAUAUCUUGUUUUUAAAAAUUAAGAUUAAUUAAUACUUGGUUUUAUGUUCAUUCCAUUGUAGGAACUUAGUGAUUAUUACAAAACAGUCAAAAUAGGUCAUAGCAAAAUGAACGUUUAAGAUUAGGUUAAAACAUUCCUCUGAAAUUUUAGUAUUCACUUUUGAAGUGUCAAUUACUAUAUUUCUGUAAUUUCUCAUUUUUUUCUUGGCUUAGAGUCAAGAUGAAAAAUGAUAUUUGAAUCAAAGACAUUGUUUUGUUAUAUAGCCACUCCUUUCUAAAAUGCAAAUCCACCCUCCCCUCACCAAUGCUUUAUUCUUUGUGCGCGCACACACACACACACACACACACACACACACACACACACACAGACAUACACAGAACCAGCACCCAAAUGGUAGAGGAGGUCCUUCCAAGACUUCUAGGACCUGGAUCAUGUAAGCAGUAGAUGAGAAAAUGAAGUAAGAGAUAUAGAGUAAUAACAAUAAAAGUCAAUGAUUUCAUUUUACAAAAAAGUCAUUGUGUAGUACUCAGAUAUUUUUAAGAGCAAGUAUUAUUAUGACUAAAGUAUAUUAUACUUCUAAAUUAUUAUGAUUCUCAUCUAAUUUCAAGCCACACAUAGGCGCCAUUUGAAAGCAUUUUGUGUUACAACCUAUCAACAAAAAUCAACUAAUAGUUUUAUAACGUGCAUAGGUUUACCCCAUGGGGAAUUAAAAUUUUUAUCUGCAAGUAUUUCUGUUGUUGUGAGACUUUAGGACAAGACAACAUUUGGUGUUAACAUAGAAGAAUAUUCUAUGGCUUUUUUAGCUUUAAAGUUCAUUACUCUAAAAUAAAGUACACGUGGUAUUUUUUUCUUCCUAGUGUUCUCUUAUUAUAUGUAGAGUAUUUUCGGUUGUUGUUUUUAACGUAUACAUUAUUUUUAUUAAGUCAUUUCAUAAAAGAUAAGAUAUAUACUAAUAGACCCUUGGUUUUCUCCUAAUUUAAUUAUUUCAAGUCAAGCAAAAUUGGGCAAUUUUCUUUCAGGAAAAAAAAAAUAUUGAGCAUGAUUUUGAGGUAAAACUGAUUAUUUACAGCAUCUUUUCUCUAAUAGGCUAACAUUUAUGAUGGAUCUUAUUUCAAAGUUGAUUAUUCUCAAAGAAAAGUGGAGAUAUUAGAAUUUCCGAGUAAAUUGCAUUGUUUUAAAAAGUACUUUAAUGCAUUGUUCACAUUGUUGCCAGCUAUUGACCAAAAAAGAGAAGAAGAAAAAAGAAAUAAAAAAAGCAGUAUCUGCUCCAAACGUCAAGUUUUGCAGUUUGAAAGACUUGUACAUUAUAAUUGUUUUUUUCUUUUUUGGAAAGCAGUAGUAAUUAAUACCAAAGGCAUAGACAAUUUAGGGCCAUAACCUCCCUUCCCCCCUCUCCACCUUUUUUUUUUUUUUUUUUUUUUUUUAACUUUAACCAUGAUAGGCAUCUCUGCAAGGUAGGUUUUAACAUAUUUUUUUCCUAAUUUUUUUCCCUCCAUUCAGUAAGAAGGAUAAGCUUUUAGAGUACCCAGUCACCGUGGUAACUGCCAAAAAAAUUCUCCUGAAGUUUGAAGAGGUCAGCUAGCAGGGUCAACAACCCUGGCCUCUCUCUGAGCUCGGUCUAGCAUGCCCCAGCCUGCGGUUGGAGUGUCAGGCCAGAUCUGACCCUGGGAGGUGGACCAUUCUGGCUCUGAUAUAAAUUUUUCGAGUCAGUUCAUGGCCUGGACUCUCCAGGUGGCCUCCAAAAUCGAUUUUGACCCCCUGACCCUGUCUCACGGAGGCAUAGCAUCCACCCUAAGUAAGGAUUUAGCCAGGAAUGACAGCUUUCCACUGAGUGUUAUUGGGGACAGUAUAAACAGUUUGGAAAGCAAGUAAGGAGGUGUGAGGGCUAGCAAUCAUUAAAAGCACAUUAAAAAACAAUUUUUAAAAAUCUUUAUUAGAGAAAGUUGUAAAUGCAUAUCUGUUACAGAAUUCCUGUGAUUUGUAGAGUUUUCUAGUCAGUUUUGAAUAUAAAUAGGUCACAUAUCUUUAUCUUUUUGCAUACUUUGUUACAAAUAUGCAAAUAAGAUAGGCAUACUUGCUACAAAAUAGGUACAGCAGGAAUGUAAUAUGUUCAGAAAAGGCAAACUGGUUAUUAAAACACAUUAACAGGUAAGGAGUUUCUAAUAUUUUAAAUACUAAAAUUUUACAUGUGUAUUUUGAAGUUUUUAAAAUGGAAAAAUAAAGAACCUUUAAAAAACCCAACAGUGUGGAAUAAAGAUAAACUUGUUGCACUCAAGGUACAUUUCUACUUUGUAAAGCAAGAAGCCAAUACACUCAGUUGGAUAAAAAUGAGAGAAAAAUUGUAAAUAUAGAGAGUUACAGCUUAUAGAGCUGAAGAGGAAUAAAACAAAAAAAAGUGUCUCUGAAUAACUUUAUGUAUUUUCAACAGUUUAAGAUAUCAGAAACUUGGAAAAUAAAUAUGAUAUAUAUAUAAAUCAUCA